AAUUAAAAAAAAUGAACUAUGGCUGUUCCUACUUUUACUGAAGUGCAUUUUCUUAUUUUUAUUUAACUUUUUUGAUUUUCCACCCAUUUUUAAAAUCCUUGCGUAAAUAUUAAUGAAUACAUUUAAUAUUUUGCAAUACACAAAGAUGUUGACAAGGGAUUACGCAACACUCUUGAGUAGACUCCUAAAAAUUUUGAUCCUCGUGGGAUUCCGUAGCUGACUUGGUAGUUUCGCGGUCAAACUUGACCAAACCACGCACGCGCUGAAGACGUUACCACGGUGGGAAGACUUCACUGAGGUUAUCGUCGCCGUCUUUCACUGUUAUUAAUGUGUUGAUGUGGCGUUGUAAGUUGUGUCAGAAAGUGAUGUCAACAAGGACUCUUUUGUUCAGGCACUACAGAUGGACUCCAUUGAUAGAAGAAGAUGUUGUAUCCUGAAGGCCCUUGCCGUUUAUCUCAAUGAAGACCCAAGCAACAUUUUCAAAGAGUACAUGGAUUUGGACUUCUGUGCCCAGCAGCAAAUGCCAAACACCGCCAUCGGCAUUUAUGCCAUUCUUCAUGAAGGGGGAGAUUGUGGCAGGGAAGAUCCUGAAGAUGUGGGGAUCAUCAUCGAGGGAGUCACCAUUCUGCAAGACCUUCAUGACAAUGCACCAGCAUUCCAUUUGCUAUUUGGACUGAUGUACGUGCUCAAUCUGAGCUACCCUCGGGAACUCAGGUACACAUUGAAUUUUGCCAGAAGGUGCUCAUGGAGCUCGAUGCCAAGAAAGUUUCAAACAAGAUCCAAGUCCUGAAACAGAAGCUUCUAGAAUAGACUUGAGAUGGAGAAGCAAACUGUUCACAAAAAAUCAACAACUGUGGGUGUUGGUUACUUCACUGGUCAAGACUGUUUAAAAAGAGACAAAGUUUGUGAAUGUUUUUAUGUUAAAUAAAUUUAUUGUGAAAAUGCAACUAAUGGCUUGCAAAGUUAUUUUGAAAUGACCCACAGCUUUUAUUUAAAUUUUACAGAUUAUAUUUAUUCUAAAUGUUCAUAUAGGUGCAAUGUUAAAAAUUGAAUGUUGUAAAAACUGCAUAAUAAAUGCAAAAUGUUUAAAAAUGAUUUACUGGCAAUGUUUUUUUUGUUCACUUCAGGGAAACUGCUUGUUUAUGUUAGCAUUACUUAAUGCAGUUGCAUGCAACCGCUUGAUGCAACAUUCUUGAGUAAAUAUAACUAUAUGUUUUGCAUAAUAUUAUGGAAAAGGUGAUGUAAGUUUAAUGUAAUGUAAUUUAUUACAAGGUACUCAAUAUUUUUUAAUUAGGAUUUUUGAGGCAUUUUCUUAAAAUGUAUCUUACAAUGUUGAGUAAUUAUUAUAAAAUAUUUUCUUAAGGAAUUACACAAUACAGUCAUGUAUUAUGUAUUUAGCAAAGUUGAGUAGUAUUUACGCAAUGAAAUAAGCUUGCA